rnacentral:rRNA from 1 species
CCUACGGGGGGUAGCAGUCGAGAAUCAUUCACAAUGGGGGAAACCCUGAUGGUGCGACGCCGCGUGGGGGAAUGAAGGUCUUCGGAUUGUAAACCCCUGUCAUGUGGGAGCAAAUUAAAAAGAUAGUACCACAAGAGGAAGAGACGGCUAACUCUGUGCCAGCAGCCGCGGUAAUACAGAGGUCUCAAGCGUUGUUCGGAAUCACUGGGCGUAAAGGGUGCGUAGGCUGUUUCGUAAGUCGUGUGUGAAAGGCGCGGGCUCAACCCGCGGACGGCACAUGAUACUGCGAGACUAGAGUAAUGGAGGGGGAACCGGAAUGCUCGGUGUAGCAGUGAAAUGCGUAGAUAUCGAGAGGAACACUCGUGGCGAAGGCGGGUUCCUGGACAUUAACUGACGCUGAGGCACGAAGGCCAGGGGAGCGAAAGGGAUUAGAUACCCGAGUAGUC